GCUCAAAUUUAUAAUCUGGCACCUUCGGUGUCCGAGUUGUAAUCUCUAGAAGUGUUUUCCGCGUUGGACCGCACACAAGUCUGUUGGAAUACAGCGGCAUAGUGGUGAAACCCCCGUAUAUGGUGCGGACGCCCAGCGCUUUGUGAUACACUUUCAAUGAGUCGAGUUGUUUGGGAAUGCAGCUCAAAUUGGGUGGUAAAUUCCAUCUAAAGCUAAAUAUUGGCGAGAGACCGAUAGCGAACAAGUACCGUGAGGGAAAGAUGAAAAGCACUUUGGAAAGAGAGUUAACAGUACGUGAAAUUGUUGGAAGGGAAACGCUUGAAGUCAGACUUGCUUGCCGGAGCUUGCUUCGGUUUGCAGGCCAGCAUCAGUUUUCCGGGGUGGAUAAUGACGGUUUGAAGGUAGCAGUCUCGGCUGUGUUAUAGCUUUCCGUUGGAUACGCCCUGGGGGACUGAGGAACGCAGCGUGCUUUUUGCGAAAGACUCGUCUUUUUCACGCUUAGGAUGCUGGUGGAAUGGCUUUAAACGACCCGUCUUGAAACACGGACCAAGGAGUCUAACAUGCUCGCGAGUAUUUGGGUGUCAAACCCGGAUGCGCAAUGAAAGUGAAUGUAGGUGGGAACCGCAAGGUGCACCAUCGACCGAUCUGGAUUUUUUAAGAUGGAUUUGAGUAAGAGCGCGUAUGUUGGGACCCGAAAGAUGGUGAACUAUGCCUGAAUAGGGCGAAGCCAGAGGAAACUCUGGUGGAGGCUCGUAGCGGUUCUGACGUGCAAAUCGAUCGUCAAAUUUGGGUAUAGGGGCGAAAGACUAAUCGAACCAUCUAGUAGCUGGUUCCUGCCGAGUCU
rnacentral:rRNA from 1 species